GACGAACGCUGGCGGCGUGCUUAACACAUGCAAGUCGAACGGUGAACCUCUUCGGAGGGGAUCAGUGGCGAACGGGUGAGUAACACGUGGGCAACCUGCCCCCGGCUCUGGGAUAACUCCAAGAAAUUGGGGCUAAUACCGGAUGUUCACCGCUUCCCGCAUGGGUGGUGGUGAAAAGGGUUUCCGGCUGGGGAUGGGCCCGCGGCCUAUCAGCUUGUUGGUGGGGUAGUGGCCUACCAAGGCGACGACGGGUAGCCGGCCUGAGAGGGUGACCGGCCACAGUGGGGGGGGAAAACGGCCCGGACGCCAACGGGGGGGAGGUGGGGGAAUUUUGGCGCAAGGGGGGGACUCAUGGCCCGUGUAAGCCGGGUGGGGAAGAGCGGCCUUCGGGUUUAAACCCUUUUUCAGCGGGGGAGAGGCGAAAGUGGCUGGACGUGUAGAAGAAGCACCGGCCAAUCGCGU
rnacentral:rRNA from 1 species